rnacentral:misc_RNA from 1 species
AAAAAUUGUAACUUACCACGAACAAAAGAGGAUUCGAGCAAAUUUGAAAAUUGAGAGAAAUAUUAAGGUAGAGAUGGAAAAGGGCAAGAAGAUGAGAGCCACUAUUUGCAUAAUCACUAUUUUCUUCCUUUUUUUCACAGCUGAUGCCGCUUCCAAAUGCAAAGCUUGGUUGGUUCAAUCCAUUCCCACGGAUAUGCCUGAACUUGCUACUGUUCACGGAGUCCUUUCCACAGCGGAUGUUCUUCAGUGGCUGGCUGGAAACUCUUCAAAGAGUUUGGACAUAAUUGCACAAUAUUGGCAAUUAGUACCACAUCCCGCUGAUCCUCGUUCAGGAGAUUAUGGAUAUUCAAAAGAGGAUUUACUCAGAUUUGGUGCGAACGAAGGGUUGAAAGUCUAUAAAGCAUUAGAAAAUGCUGCGAAUCGCAAACUUCCAAUUAGCAUUCUGGAGUUUCUCCCGAUUACACAGAAGAACCAUCCAACUUAGCUUCAGGGAGGCCAAAUGUAAAGAAUGUUACAUUGCUUCUUAGCGACUGGUGGGGAUCAGGUAUAGUUCAU